rnacentral:rRNA from 1 species
UACGUAGGGGGCAAGCGUUAUCCGGAAUCAUUGGGCGUAAAGCGCGUGUAGGCGGUUCCGUAAGUCCGCUCUGAAAGCCCAGGGCUCAACCCUGGGAGGCGGGUGGAUACUACGGAACUGGAGUACGGAAGAGGAGAGCGGAAUUCCUGGUGUAGCGGUGGAAUGCGCAGAUAUCAGGAGGAACACCCGUGGCGAAGGCGGCUCUCUGGGACGGUACUGACACUGAGACGCGAAAGCGUGGGGAGCGAACAGG